CAGAGAAUAGUUUAAGAUAAAAUACUAGUUUUGGGAACUGGUGAUGGGAGGAAACUCUCUUCUCUGA
rnacentral:tRNA from 1 species